rnacentral:rRNA from 1 species
AGUGAACGCUGGCGGCAGGCCUAAUACAUGCAAGUCGAACGGCAGCACAGUGGAGCUUGCUCCAUGGGUGGCGAGUGGCGGACGGGUGAGGAAUACAUGGGAAUCUGCCCAGUCGUGGGGGAUAACGUAGGGAAACUUACGCUAAUACCGCAUGCGCCCUUCGGGGGAAAGCCGGGGACCUUCGGGCCUGGCGCGAUUGGAUGAGCCCAUGUUCGAUUAGCUAGUUGGCGGGGUAAAGGCCCACCAAGGCGACGAUCGAUAGCUGGUCUGAGAGGAUGAUCAGCCACACUGGGACUGAGACACGGCCCAGACUCCUACGGGAGGCAGCAGUAGGGAAUAUUGGACAAUGGGCGCAAGCCUGAUCCAGCCAUGCCGCGUGAGUGAAGAAGGCCCUCGGGUUGUAAAGCUCUUUUGUCCGGGAAGAAAAGCAUCGGGCUAAUACCUCGGUGUCCUGACGGUACCGGAAGAAUAAGCACCGGCUAACUUCGUG